rnacentral:rRNA from 1 species
UACGGAGGAUGCGAGCGUUAUCCGGAUUUAUUGGGUUUAAAGGGUGCGCAGGCGGAUUUUUAAGUCAGCGGUCAAAUCGUGGGGCUCAACCCCAUCCAGCCGUUGAAACUGGGGAUCUAGAGUGUGCGAGAGGUAUGCGGAAUGCGUGGUGUAGCGGUGAAAUGCGUAGAUAUCAGGAGGAAUACCGUUAGCGAAGGCGGCAAUCUGGCUGGAAACUGACGCUGAGGUGCGAAAGCGUGGGUAGCAAACAGG